rnacentral:misc_RNA from 1 species
GAUGAAGAACGCAGCGAAAUGCGAUAAGUAGUGUGAAUUGCAGAAUUCAGUGAAUCAUCGAAUCUUUGAACGCACAUUGCGCCCUUUGGUAUUCCAAAGGGCAUGCCUGUUCGAGCGUCAUUUGUACCCUCAAGCUUUGCUUGGUGUUGGGCGUCUUGUCUCUAGCUUUACUGGAGACUCGCCUUAAAGUAAUUGGCAGCCGGCCUACUGGUUUCGGAGCGCAGCACAAGUCGCACUCUCUAUCAGCAAAGGUCUAGCAUCCAUUAAGCCUUUUUUUCAACUUUUGACCUCGGAUCAGGUAGGGAUACCCGCUGAACUUAAGCAUAUCAAUAAGCGGAGGA